rnacentral:rRNA from 1 species
AGAGUUUGAUCCUGGCUCAGAUUGAACGCUGGCGGCAUGCCUAACACAUGCAAGUCGAACGGUAACGACGGGAGCUUGCUCCCGGGCGACGAGUGGCGGACGGGUGAGUAAUACUUAGGAAUCUGCCCAGUAGUGGGGGACAACUCGAGGAAACUCGAGCUAAUACCGCAUACGCCCUACGGGGGAAAGCGGAGGAUCUUUCGGGACUUCGCGCUAUUGGAUGAGCCUAAGUCGGAUUAGCUUGUUGGUGGGGUAAAGGCCUACCAAGGCGACGAUCUGUAGCUGGUCUGAGAGGACGAUCAGCCACACUGGGACUGAGACACGGCCCAGACUCCUACGGGAGGCAGCAGUGGGGAAUAUUGGACAAUGGGGGCAACCCUGAUCCAGCAAUGCCGCGUGUGUGAAGAAGGCCUGCGGGUUGUAAAGCACUUUCAGUAGAGAAGAAAUGCCCAUGGUUAAUACCCGUGGGUCUUGACGUAACCUACAGAAGAAGCACCGGCUAACUCCGUGCCAGCAGCCGCGGUAAUACGGAGGGUGCGAGCGUUAAUCGGAAUUACUGGGCGUAAAGCGCGCGUAGGCGGUUUGGUCAGUCGGAUGUGAAAGCCCUAGGCUCAACCUGGGAAUGGCAUUCGAUACUGCCUGACUAGAGUAUGGUAGAGGGAAGUGGAAUUUCCGGUGUAGCGGUGAAAUGCGUAGAUA